AGUGGCAGACGGGUGAGUAAUGUAUAGGAAUCUACCUAGUAGUACGGAAUAAUUGUUGGAAACGGCAACUAAUACCGUAUACGCCCUACGGGGGAAAAAUUUAUUGCUAUUAGAUGAGCCUAUAUUAGAUUAGUUAGUUGGUGAGGUAAAGGCUUACCAAGACAAUGAUCUAUAGCUGAUCUGAGAGGAUGAUCAGCCACACUGGAACUGAGAUACGGUCCAGACUCCUACGGGAGGCAGCAGUGGGGAAUAUUGGACAAUGGGCGAAAGCCUGAUCCAGCCAUGCCGCAUGAGUGAAGAAGGCCUUCGGGUUGUAAAGCUCUUUCACCGGUGAAGAUAAUGACGGUAGCCGGAGAAGAAGCCCCGGCUAACUUCGUGCCAGCAGCCGCGGUAAUACGAAGGGGGCUAGCGUUGUUCGGAUUUACUGGGCGUAAAGCGCGCGUAGGCGGAUAGAUAAGUCAGAGGUGAAAUCCCGGGGCUCAACCCCGGAAUUGCCUUUGAUACUGUUUAUCUUGAGUGCAGAAGAGGUAAGUGGAAUUCCGAGUGUAGAGGUGAAAUUCGUAGAUAUUCGGAGGAACACCAGUGGCGAAGGCGGCUUACUGGUCUGUUACUGACGCUGANGUGCGAAAGCGUGGGGAGCAAACAGGAUUAGAUACCCUGGUAGUCCACGCCGUAAACGAUGGAAGCUAGCCGUCNGCAAGUUUACUUGUCGGUGGCGCAGUUAACGCAUUAAGCUUCCCGCCUGGGGAGUACGGUCGCAAGANUAAAACUUAAAGGAAUUGAC
rnacentral:rRNA from 2 species